rnacentral:tRNA from 1 species
AAGGGAGACCUAAUUCAGGUAGGAGACGAAAAAAAGUAGUCCCUACCAAGAAUCAAUCCCAAAAGGUCGGAGCGAGGCAAAAUUGGCUUUCAAACUAGGUUCUGGGUUCACAUAAGACCUGAAUCAGGAACAAGGGCUAUUAGCUCAGGUGGUUAGAGCGCACCCCUGAUAAGGGUGAGGUCCCUGGUUCGAGUCCAGGAUGGCCCACCUGCACAGGUGGCAAAAACAAAGAAAAAAAGCUCCGAAUCAGCACCUUAUCUUACUCAUAUAGUAAGAGAGAAUGCUGGCUCUGAGUUCAGAGUCCAGAGGAACCUUGAAAACUGCAUAGAGCUAGGUGAAAAAGCCAAAAAAGAAGACCGCAAGGUCAAGCUAAUAAGGGCUAACGGUGGAUACCUAGGCAC